rnacentral:rRNA from 1 species
GGGGAAUAUUGGACAAUGGGCGAAAGCCUGAUCCAGCCAUGCCGCGUGAGUGAUGAAGGCCCUAGGGUUGUAAAGCUCUUUCGACGGGGACGAUAAUGACGGUACCCGUAGAAGAAGCCCCGGCUAACUUCGUGCCAGCAGCCGCGGUAAUACGAAGGGGGCUAGCGUUGUUCGGAAUCACUGGGCGUAAAGCGCACGUAGGCGGAUUAUUGAGUCGGGGGUGAAAUCCCGAGGCUCAACCUCGGAACUGCCUUCGAUACUGGUAAUCUUCGAGUCCGGGAGAGGUGAGUGGAACUCCGAGUGUAGAGGUGAAAUUCGUAGAUAUUCGGAAGAACACCAGUGGCGAAGGCGGCUCACUGGCCCGGUACUGACGCUGAGGUGCGAAAGCGUGGGGAGCAAAC